AUAGCGUAUAUUCAAGUUGUUGCAGUUAAAAAGUCCGUAGUUGAAUUUUGGAUCUGGUUAAGUGGUUUAGCUGCAAGGUUAACACUGCUUUGGCUGGAUCUUUCCUUCUAGGGAACUAAUGUGCUAUUUAUUUAGUGCGUUAGGGAUCUAGGAUUGUUACUUUGAAAAAAUUAGAGUGUUUAAAACAGGCUUAUGCUUGAAUACAUUAGCAUGGAAUAACGGAAUAGGACUUUGUUCUUAUUUUGUUGGUUUUGAGGAACGAAGUAAUGAUUAAUAGGGAUAGUUGGGGGCAUUAGUAUUCCAUUGUCAGAGGUGAAAUUCUUGGAUUUAUGAAAGACGAACAACUG
rnacentral:rRNA from 1 species